CAGAGUUGCAAGACUCCCUAAACCAUUGUGAACCUACCUUCUACCGUUGCUUUGGCGGGCGGGCCCAGCGCCCCCCCCGGCCCCCCGCGGGCGCCCGCCGGAGGAUACCCAAACUCUUGACAUUAGUGGCCUCUCUGAGUAUUCUUUACUGAAUAAGUCA
rnacentral:misc_RNA from 1 species